GAGUAGUGGUUGUAACGUAUUAGUGGAGUAGUGGUUGUAACGUAUUAGUGGAGUAGUGGUUGUAACGUAUUAGUGGAGUAGUGGUUGUAACGUAUUAGAGGAGUAGUGGUUGUAACGUAUUAGUGGAGUAGUGGUUGUAACGUAUUAGAGGAGUAGUGGUUGUAACGUAUUAGAGGAGUGGUGGUUGUAACGUAUUAGAUGAGGCUGUAUUAGUGGAGUAGUGGUUGUAACUAUUAGUGGAGUAGUGGUUGUAAUGCAUUAGUGGAGUAGUGGUUGUAAAGUAUUAGUGGAGUAGUGGUUGUAACGUAUUAGUGGAGUAGUGGUUGUAAUGCAUUAGUGGAGUAGUGGUUGUAACGUAUUAGUGGA
ensembl:lncRNA